rnacentral:rRNA from 1 species
UACAGAGGGUGCGAGCGUUGUUCGGAAUUAUUGGGCGUAAAGGGCGCGUAGGCGGUGCCACAAGUCACUUGUGAAAUCCCCGGGCUUAACUCGGGGCCUGCAGGCGAAACUGUGGUGCUGGAGUGUGGGAGAGGUGCGUGGAAUUCCCAGUGUAGAGGUGAAAUUCGUAGAGAUUGGGAAGAACACCGGUGGCGAAGGCGGCUCACUGGACCGACAUUGACGCUGAGGCGCGAAAGCGCGGGGAGCGAACGGG